UGUGCUCAUGUGGCCUAGUGGUCAUGGCAUCUGCCCGGUAAGCGGAAGGUCGUGGGUUCGAUUCCCAUCCCUUUACAC
rnacentral:tRNA from 1 species